rnacentral:lncRNA from 1 species
GAAGUCCGGGUCUUCCUCUAUAGCAACGAAGCAAGGGUGAGUACAAAAGUACUCAACAAGUCCAACCCCAUCCAUGGAGGGGGAUACAAUCAAGUAUAUGCAUAGGAUAUAACAAGGAUAGGCUAAGGUUCAUUUGCAAUAAAGCUAGAUUUCCAACACAUGCACGGGUUCAUUUUCCAAAAGAGUUUUGCAAAGCUUUUUAGUAACUGAAACAUUAAGUGGGGUUGAUCCUACACAAAGGACCCAAUUUUUCUUGCUAUCGGACUCUCCAUCCACCAUAGCUCACGGCACAACUGUCGGACACUUCCAAAAUCCAAC